AGAACGACUCUCGGCAACGGAUAUCUCGGCUCUCGCAUCGAUGAAGAACGUAGCGAAAUGCGAUACUUGGUGUGAAUUGCAGAAUCCCGUGAACCAUCGAGUCUUUGAACGCAAGUUGCGCCCCAAGCCUUCGGGCCGAGGGCACGUCUGCCUGGGUGUCACGCA
rnacentral:rRNA from 1 species